GACCCGGAUGUAGCGCGUGCGCAGAGGCCAUUGCCUCCUCCCUGUCAUGGCGGCGUUUUAGGAAGCUUUGCUGUUUUUGACGUAUUUCCGCUCCUUGCGAUGAUGUCAUGCCAUAGCCAAGACACUCCCCCACUUUUCCCUUACUUAGCAUCGCCCCCUGAGCCCACCCUAAGUGUAAAGCUCCGUGAAGCUCUGAGCUGCUGAGAUGGAUUUCAGGCCAGCGCUCCUGUGACGCAUCCGUGAUCCCUCACCCCCAACUCUGAGGAGACCCUGAUGCCAAGGACUUCAACUUUGAGGAUAGGCCCUGAAAGGUAGAGGAGGCUGUGUGGUUUCCUUCGCCUAGCCCAGGGCUCUGCUGCAGAGCCCCCUGCCGGUUGCUUGGAUGCAUGCAGAAACCAUGUUGUAGGUAGAAUGGAAGUUCUUCAAAGACUGGCAUUGUCCCCCUUUCAGCGUAUUCCUAGGGCCUACCACGUUUACUGGCACAAAGAAAGAGAUAAUAGGAGCAUCUAGAUAGCUCUGGAUAGGGAGCCAGACCCAGAGAUGGGAAGUCCUGGGUCCAAAUGUGGACUCAAACUAGCUGUGUACCUCUGGUUAAUCUUCUUUAAUAGAACCCCUGCUUUUUUGGAACCUCCUGUGUUAGAGGGACAGCUGGACAAUUGCUGCAUCAAGCAAGCAAACAAGGAAACAUUAAGGGACUACAAUCUAUUUUGGAAGAACAAUAAGGGCUAGACAAUGGAAGAGUAAUUUUAGGUUAAGAAACAUGCUACCUCUCCAAAUCCAGAAAAUGAACUCUUCUUAGAAGGCACCAUGAAGAUACCUCCACAGACCACAAGCUACAUCAAGAAGAUCCAGAAUGAACUUUGGGUGUGGUUGAUUGAACUGAAGGUUGAUUGAACAUUUAAUUUGAAUAUAUACUCUUAUGCCAAAAGGGGACUGCCCCCUAAUUGGCUUUUUGUCAAUGCGCCUAGCAAUUAUUGGUUUUGUUCUCUUUUCCUUUUAUCCUCAAAUUAUUGCAAUUUUAAAGUUGGCUUGUUUACAAGACCCACUGGAGAGACUAGUCUUCCAUGGGUCUCAGGGGGAAAUGUAUGAUUGAAAAUCUGUUACCCUACUACGUAUCCCAAGAGCCCAUUGACUUCCUGUCAUUACGUACUUUCUGUAGACAGAGGAUAAAGGCCGUGGGCUUUGGAGGCUCCCUCUCUGAUAUAGAAUCAGCAUUGAUGGUGGUGAGUGGGGUUGACUAAAAAAAUGACUAACCAGCCAUGGGCACAUGGUCUUUAUUUUGUAUCUUUAUUCCUUGAUUUCUAAUGAUCAUUAAUAAAUCUCUUAAAAUAUAAUAUUAUUAUUGAGAUUUAAUUUUAACUUUUACAUUACUCCUUUAUUUCUAGUGAUUAUUAAUAAGUCUUAUAAAAUAUAAUAUUGAAAUUAUUGUAGAUUAAUUUUAAUUUUUACAUUGAUGGCAUCCACUGAAGUUGGAGAAAGAAUUCUCAAUAUUUUAAAAUAGCCUAGAUAAAUUUUGCAAAGUCACAUUUCUCCUGCCAUGGCUUUUCGCUGCCCACCCCUGACAACUCUGAACUCUCUUUGGAGCUGCUGUCCAACUCCUACCAUUUUCCCCCCAUUUUUCCCAGCCUCCCUGCCCACCCGAAUACUUUAAUUUGAGUGACUUAGCCAGGGACUCUUAGCAGAAAAGGCUUAGGCCUUUUCUCGCUCCCAUUUGCUUAAGCCAGCAUUCCUCACUGCUGCCUCUGGCGUUAUUGCUGCCAAUCCAGCCUCCUGCUAUUAACUCCCUGGGUUGUCUCCUGCUGCAGCUGCUGUUGCUGUUGCUGUUGCUGAUUGCUGAUUGCUGUUGCUGUGUCUUUAGAACACACAAGCUGGGAGUCCUUGGAGCCACUCUCCUGGCAGCUGGUAAAGUACAUUUCGAACAGCUGAGUGCUUGCUCGCUGCUUGCCUUGGAAACCCAAGUGUGUUUCCCUUAGGCAAUAAUUAGCCUCCUAACUCCUUGCCAUUUCUGCUGUCUGUGAGCUACUGCAGUCAACACCUGAUUGCCAAGGGUUCGAGAGCCAAUUAGAAAUACCAUUUUUUUUCCCUCAGAGGGUGAAGUAUAGAUUCCCCCCCUCCCACAUGGGUUUUCUAACCCAGUUUGGCUAACCCAGAUAGGUUUCCAUGCCUGUGGGGGAGGGGACUGAGGCAGCAAGUGGCCCCUAGCUUUUUUACCCUAAGGGGGAAGGGGAAGGAAGGUUACUCUUCCAAACAGGAAGUAAAAUUGCAAGCAUAUCCUGCUCUAUGAAAGAGCAGCACAUUACCGGUUUCAAACAGAUCCCAAUUUUUGGAUGCUCUUUCAUCCUACCAUUUCUGGGUGCACUGGUCCUUGCGAUUAUCUUGCCUGAGAUUCAGGGGAGAAAUUUAUCUCCCUACAACCCCAUGCCAUUUGGACCUGCCCAGUCUCUAAAAUACAUCCAAUUUGGGAUUCCUCCACACUAUGUUCAGCUAGGAAUUCUCCCUCACUAUGAGAGAUCCCAGAGGUAUGACAAGAAGAACCUAAAUGGAUAGGGAAGAAACUUUUAAGAGCCUGGAGGUGAAAUUUUUAAGCCUUUUCAGACUCCAUUGUUUUAUGAAAAUCUCUGUAUCUUAUUGUAUUUUGCUGAUUGUUUUAGCUUUAAGAUUUAAUUUUGUUGUUUUAAGUUCAUUUGUUAAUCUGACCAAUACUAUUCUGUUACACUGAAUCAUUUUAACCUCCUGUGUUUUGGCUAUUAGAUGUAUUUGAUUACAUUAUUUUGAUUUGUACCUUUCCCCUCUAACUGUACUGAACAAAAUACCAUUGUAAAAGUCCAUAAACAAUUUGCGCAAACCCUUUGGCAAAACCAUAAGCCCUUAUGGACACUGGGCUUGUCAUGAGAUCCACUGAGGUCACAUGUUGCCUAAAUGGCCUUUUGUUCCUUUUUGCCUUUGUUAAUUGUCACAUAGAUGAUGGAUGGAUUCCAUCAACCUGGUUAACAACCUUUGGAGAAUUUAAUGAGUUAAAUAUCUCAAAUUGCUUUUAAGGGGUCUUCAGAAGUGAUUUUUAGAUCUCUAGUAGCACCAGUACCUCUGAUCAUUUACCUGUCUUUGAAUUGUUUGUAACAAGAGAUAAGGGUCUAUUUGUAGUUGAAGAGAAGUGCAAUAGCACUAUUGUAUUUCCCCAUGUCCACAUUUAUUAAAAAUGCAAUGGGGGGCAGCUGGGUAGCUCAGUGGAUUGAGAGCCAGGCCUAGAGAUAGGAGGUCCUGGGUUCAAAUCUGGCCUCAGACACUUCCCAGCUGUGUGACCCUGGGCAAGUCACUUGACCCCCAUUGCCUAGUCCUUACCACUCUUCUGCCUUGGAGCCAAUACACAGUAUUGACUCCAAGAUGGAAGGUAAGGGUUUAAAAAAAAUGCAAUGAAUGAGACAUCUAAAGUGAUUUUCACUAUUUAGUCCUCGGCUCCAUGUGGAAUGGAUGGGACAUAUUGGAGACAGGUCUGUUAACUGUUAUAAUCUCAUACCAGAGUGAGUGAGGUGCCCAAGAGGAUUAGUUACCCUGUAAUGGAUUAUAAUCUCAUCCUGGAGGUGUGAAGAUUUUUUUUUUCUGUGAAGUCUAGUAGUUUCUGAAUAUUAUACACACACACAUAUAUGUUAUAAAGAAUGUUGAAUUAAAGGUAGAGAACAAAAUAGUUCUUGCCA